UGACAACUUCCUGGAGUU
rnacentral:piRNA from 1 species